rnacentral:rRNA from 1 species
GAAUGAGAAGAUUCAGUAUCUUACCAUUUGGUCGACCAUUACAUUAUUAUGUGAUAAUUUUUAAUAUCUUGAUAUUAAUAUUACACUAAUUUGUUUUGAGAUUUGGCUAUGGAGGUAUGCACUUCUUCUCUAGUAGGACGUUGCAACCCAUUGGAUGUUAAUCUAAGGUCCCUUAUGGUAGCCUAUUUUAUAUAUAUUUCGGUAUAUGUGAUUUAGACCUUAGGUGUUUUGCCUGAUUAACUUGUUCGAUGGUAUGUCUUUAUAAUAUAGGGUCGCCUAUACUGGCAUUUAACUUUUUUUCAAGUGUGUAUGGAUUAAAUUUUGGCUAUCAGACCUAGUCUGGUACUGAAACCAUUACCACUGUUUGAAAAUUAUGUUGUAAUUAAAUUGACCUUUUAUAUAGGUUAGCAACGCUUUU